rnacentral:rRNA from 1 species
CUUGCGGCCAUAUCGUCUUGAAACACCGAUCACCGUAAGAUCACUGAAGUUAAGCAACGUCGAGCCUGAUUAGUACCCAGAUGGGUGACCACUUGGGAAUACAACGUGCAGUAUG